rnacentral:sRNA from 1 species
CGACGUUGUGUAGUCUCCCCUGGGAAAGGAGGGUCAGGCGAGUCCACGUGAGGGAAGCCCCCGCUGUGCGCGGAGCCCUCUGCUGGGCGGAGGGGGAGUGCCAGCCCCCAGGAGCUAAUCCCCGGCUGAUGGCGCAGGGCGCGGGGCUUGGCCGUCUAGUGUGAUGAAGGAGGCGACCCCCAAGGUGGGAAGGCGCACGGGUUGGGGUUUGAGGGUGGAUGAUUGGUGACGGAGGGUGUAUCUUCAGGAGGAGGUUCGAGUGAAGAUCAAAGACUUGAAUGAACACAUUGUUUGCUGCCUAUGCGCCGGCUACUUCGUGGAUGCCACCACCAUCACAGAGUGUCUUCAUACUUUCUGCAAGAGUUGUAUUGUGAAGUACCUCCAAACUAGCAAGUACUGCCCCAUGUGCAACAUUAAGAUCCACGAGACACAGCCACUGCUCAACCUCAAACUGGACCGGGUCAUGCAGGACAUCGUGUAUAAGCUGGUGCCUGGCUUGCAAGACAGUGAGUCACCAACCUGACUUUGAGGGGCCUCUUGAGGACUAAUUGCUGAGUGGCAGCUUGAGAUGAUGGGUUUGGUAGGACUCACGUAGGCAGAAGGCCAAAGAUGAGGGAAGGACAAAAAGUGAGGAAGGGCUAAUACUUUAUUCUUUUUUUUCUUUUUUUGAGACGGAGUCUUGCCCAGGCUGGAGUGCAGUGGCGCAAUCUCAGCUCACUGCAAGCUCCACCUCCUGGAUUCAUGCCAUUCUCCUGCCUCAGCCUCCUGAGUAGCUGGGGCUACAGGCGCCCACCACCAUGCCCAGCUAAUUUUUUGUAUUUUUUAGUAGAGACGGGG